rnacentral:rRNA from 1 species
GACGAACGCUGGAGGCGUGCCUAAUACAUGCAAGUAGAAAGCAGUUGCGAACGGGGGAGGAAGGCGAAGGUAACUACAUGGUAGCGAGGGAGAACUAUAGGAAACGAUAGAAAAUACCGAAGAAUACCAUAUGACCCUGAGUUGUAGUAUAUAGUUGGUGGGGUAACGGCUACCCAAGGAAACGAUACAAAGCCGACCUGGGAGGGUGAUCGGCCACACUGUGAUUUAGACACGGCCCAGACUCCUACGGGAGGCAGCAGUAGGGAAUCUUCGGCAAUGGACGGAAGUCUGACCGAGCAACGCCGCGUGAGUGAAGAAGGUUUUCGGAUCGUAAAGCUCUGUUUUAAGAGAAGCGGUAUCUUACCAGAAAGGGACGGCUAACUACGUGCCAGCAGCCGCGGUAAUUC